rnacentral:rRNA from 1 species
CCUACGGGAGGCAGCAGUGGGGAAUAUUGGACAAUGGGCGCAAGCCUGAUCCAGCCAUGCCGCGUGAGUGAUGAAGGCCUUAGGGUUGUAAAGCUCUUUUACCCGGGAAGAUAAUGACUGUACCGGGAGAAUAAGCCCCGGCUAACUCCGUGCCAGCAGCCGCGGUAAU